GACGAACGCUGGCGGCGUGCUUAACACAUGCAAGUCGAACGGAAAGGCCCUGCUUUUGUGGGGUGCUCGAGUGGCGAACGGGUGAGUAACACGUGAGUAACCUGCCCUUGACUUUGGGAUAACUUCAGGAAACUGGGGCUAAUACCGGAUAGGAGCUCCUGCUGCAUGGUGGGGGUUGGAAAGUUUCGGCGGUUGGGGAUGGACUCGCGGCUUAUCAGCUUGUUGGUGGGGUAGUGGCUUACCAAGGCUUUGACGGGUAGCCGGACUGAGAGGGUGACCGGACACAUGGGGGAAUGGAGCCGGCCGAAGGGCUGACGGGAGGCAAGAGGGGGGAAGUUUGAACAAGGGGGGGAAGGUGGAAGCAGAAUACCCGGGUGGGGGAGGAGGGCUGGCGGGUUGUAAAACCCUUUCCCCUGUAAACAAGGUUGAAUGAGGGGAAGGGGUAAAAAAAAACCGGCUAACUGAGU
rnacentral:rRNA from 1 species